GUGCUAUUUACUGGAACGCUACGAUUGACAGGCAGCAGUUAAAUGCUUGCUGGUAACCGAGUACCGUGUGGUAUUGGCUACUACGCUAUCUCUUUCUGGCCUGCGUUCGAUGCGCAUUAUCGGUGGUAGUAGUGCGUCGACUACAUCGUUGUCAUUUCCCUCGCUUGGCAUGCUGUUUUGUGCUGGGAAUUGACGACGUGCAUGCCUGUAUCGACUACUUGGAAUACGUUGUGACUUCGUUGUUGCCAUUACCUUAUGUUCGUUCCAUAGCCGUUAUCUUCGUUGCUGUCUAUCGAUUCGCUCACCAUCUGUGACCGAUUCCAAAAGUGGAGAUGGCUUUGUUUGUCGUCUGGCGGUUGUUGGUAUACGAGUACUACGCUUUCCACAUGAAUUAAUGUUGAUAAGUGGAGUAAUUUGAGAGCAGCUCUUAGGUACGAAAUAAUGUAGGCAGUUAUUUUGCUACAUCGUUGGAGGGAUUUAAUAAAUGUGUAUUCGUUGCUUGAGCCGUACUUCCAGCUAGCACCAGACAAACUGUAUGAGACUGAGGCGCUGUCGCGCAGUUUGGAGUAACUAAGCAGUUUCACCUUGAGAGUUGCAUAACGUGUUUGAGCAGCUGGCAGCUGCUUACACAUUUUAAUGCGUGUGUUAUAUUUUGAUAAAAAGAUUUUGAGGUUAUGGAGACAAUAGCUUUUUGAGACAUCGUCCCAAGGGAAAGGUGUACAUGCAUUUUUAUCAAUAAGGGCUUAAUUGUUAUUUCUGUUGCAGUUAGACAUUUUUGGCGUUGUCUCAUGACAUCGAUACGUCAUAUUGGCUAUAGAAACUGAAAAAAAUUAGGCGAAUGUAUUCAUCUAAGAUUUUCUAUCGCACUUAGAUUGAUUUUCCAUUCCGACUACGUUAAUUUUGUUAAUUAAAUGUAAGCGGAAUAUAAAAGUAAAUAUUUUUGUAAUAGUUUGUUAAAAAAAUAUAUAUACAUACAUAUAACCGAUAAGAUUGCAAUUAAUUAAUGGCUUUGGUUUGGCCGCCCAUCUUGAAAAAGAAUUCAUUUCAGGCUUGUAUCGUUUAUAAUAUGUCAACACUUUACCUUGGUCAAACGUCGUACCAAUGUUGCUAUAUAAUAACAAAAUUAAAACUGCCUUCACGCUAACUACCAUAGCCUCAUUUGCCAGCGUUGUCAGCCAAACACGCUAACGUUUACUUCGUUUCACGCUACGAAUUCUCAGUGCGUUCGUCAUGUGUUUAUCAGGGCACGUUGUUCCACUUGCCGUUCUCUGUGUCGAAAGGGCUGUGGUUGAAGCUAAAUUCAUUCGCUUUACUCAGAAUCGGCUGUAAUGUUUAAAAGUUCGCUCCUACCAUAAGUUAACAUUCAAAACUUUGUGGAAUUUUCAUUUCUAAAUAUGUGCCUUGAUCAUUUCAGUUGUAUGUUUGUACUUGUAUAACUAACUAUUAUAAUUUGUCACUUUUCAAUAGCUGGUACUCUAGUCGCUCCAGGUUACCACGUCAGCGUAUUUGUUAGCUAACUCACCCUCACUAUAAACCAGUGUUGACGACGUCAUCACUCCCAAGUUAUUUGGUAGAUAUACUCUUAUCGUUGUAUUGGAGCACAAAUAGAUAGGUGCCUAUAAUGUUUGCGUACAUGAUAUCAUUGCAUAGUGAGGUACCCAGCUAAGUUGUUAUGUGGUUUGGAACUUUGGACAAUUAGCAGCUCUACAUUGUGUUCACGUGGCUUUGAGGUUUCACUUGAAUGGCUCAGUAAUGUUCAAAUAUCCCUUUUAUUUGUAGAAACCUGCAUAUGUCUUAAGUUUAUUUAAGAAAUUUUUAAGUUGAAUAUAUAAAUAUCAAAUACUCUGGAAUUGCUUUGUAUUGUCGUAAGAACGAGCUGUCAUUUUUACGAUAUGACGAUGACUAUUGUCUAGAGGCCAAGGAACAAAUUAGUAGAGAUACAUAUAUGCACAACACAUUGCUUGGAGGCUUUUGAAGUCGAUCAAAACAAAUACUGUUACAUUUUGGGCAUUGCUUGAACACCUAUAAAAUGUUUCUUUGAUAAUUUACGUGCUAAUUUUGAACUGAAAAGAAAGAACUGGUAGUUUCCAGUAGCAAACUAUUCGAAUUACUCUCGUCGGUUUUGAGAUAUCGCUGUGAAAUUUUGCGUACUUCCUUUUUUCUCCAAGAAUCUGCUCAUUUUGUCGGAACCGCCGAUUUCGGUUUACUGUAAACUGAACGGUCAAUAUCAAGUUUGUGUAUGGACAACUUUUUUAUUGAAGGAGAUAUUUCCAUGUAAUUUGGUAUGGACUAUAUCGCAAACAACGCUGCAAUCUCCGUAGAAAUUAAUGGCAUAUAUGUACAUGUGUAUGUAGCUGUCAUACAAAUGGACCGCAAAUUUAGUUCACAAUGAUAUUGAAAACGAUUCGCCUUUAAGUUGAAUAACUCUUUUAUAUAA